AUACGGAGGGUGCAAGCGUUAAUCGGAAUUACUGGGCGUAAAGCGCACGCAGGCGGUUUGUUAAGUCAGAUGUGAAAUCCCCGGGCUCAACCUGGGAACUGCAUCUGAUACUGGCAAGCUUGAGUCUCGUAGAGGGGGGUAGAAUUCCAGGUGUAGCGGUGAAAUGCGUAGAGAUCUGGAGGGAUUCCGGGGGCGAAGGCGGCCCCCUGGACGAAGGCUGCCGCUGAGGUGCUAAAGGGUGGGGAGCAAACAGGAUUAGAUCCCCUGGUAGUCCACGCCGUAAACGAUGUCGACUUGGAGGUUGUGCCCUUGAGGCGUGGCUUCCGGAGCUAACGCGUUAAGUCGACCGCCUGGGGAGUACGGCCGCAAGGUUAAAACUCAAAUGAAUUGACGGGG
rnacentral:rRNA from 1 species